rnacentral:rRNA from 1 species
GGACAUUACUGAUUUGCUUAAUUGCACCACAUGUGUUUUUUAUUGAACAAAUUUCUUUGGUGGCGGGAGCAAUCCUACCGCCAGAGGUUAUAACUAAACCAAACUUUUUAUUUACAGUCAAACUUGAUUUAUUAUUACAAUGAGUCAAAACUUUCAACAUGACGGAUCUCUUGGUUCUCGCACUCUGAUGAAGAACGCAGCGAAAUGCGAUACGUCAAUAUGAAUUGCAGAUCGAAUAUCGUGCAAUCAUCGAAUCUUUGAACGCACAUUGCGCCCUUUGGUAUUCCAAAGGGCGAUGCCUGUUUGAGCGUCAUUUCUCCCUCAAACCCCCGGGUUUGGUGUUGAGCAAUGACUGCUAGGUUUGUUUGAAAGAAUUUAACGUGGAAACUUAUUUUAAGCGAGCUUAGGUUUAUCCAAGAAACGCUUAUUUUGCUAGUGGCCACCACAAUUUAUUUCAUAACUUUGACCUCAAAUCACGGUAGGACUACCCGCUGAA